rnacentral:rRNA from 1 species
AAGAACUUUACACGAGAGGAAAAUAAGCGCCUCCCCUAUCAGUUAUUAGGAUGGCUGGUAUACCUAUAUGAACACGGGUACGGGGAACGCACCUUCCAUUCCGGAGAGGGCGCUUUUCUAGAUGGCGACCAAUUCUAAGGACCGCCCCAGGCUCGAAACUUAC